GCCAGGUAUGGUGGUGUAUGCCUGUAAUCCCAGUGGCUUGGGAGGCUGAGGUAGGAGGAUCACAAGUUCAAAGCCAGCCUCAG
rnacentral:sRNA from 1 species